CCGUAUUGUAAUACAAAAGCUUUCUAAGCAGAGUUAUUUGGAGUGCGAGAUGUUUAUUCAAUAUAUGACUUGCCUCUUAGACUCAGCUAGAAUGCAUCGAGUCUACGAACCAGUGCUCUUUAAUUGUGAGUGCUACCUCGUAAGACUUAGUACAUGGAGCCAUUGUGCAUACAUGUACGCAGAAUGAUAUCGUUGGUUCUUGGAUGAUGUGGAGUCUGGCAUAUAAGGGUAGCGACGUUACAGCUUUAAAGGUUUUCGCCCGCCGGUUCUCCGCUUUGCUUGAACCUAUACGAUGCAAGUUCCGAAAGGAACAAAAGCAAACAGAAUGGACUAAACAAAUGUAAAAAACAAAACUAAAAAAAU
rnacentral:misc_RNA from 1 species